AUUGAACGCUGGCGGCAGGCCUAACACAUGCAAGUCGAGCGGUAGAGAGAAGCUUGCUUCUCUUGAGAGCGGCGGACGGGUGAGUAAUGCCUAGGAAUCUGCCUGAUAGUGGGGGAUAACGUCCGGAAACGGACGCUAAUACCGCAUACGUCCUACGGGAGAAAGUGGGGGCUCUUCGGACCUCACGCUAUCAGAUGAGCCUAGGUCGGAUUAGCUGGUUGGUGGGGUAAAGGCUCACCAAGGCGACGAUCCGUAACUGUUCUGAGAGGGUGAUCAGUCACACUGGAACCGAGACACGGUCCAGAAGCCUACGGGAGGCAGCAGUGGGGAAUAUUGGACGAUGGGCGAAAGCCUGAUCCAGCCAUGCCGCGUGUGUGAAGAAGGUCUUCGGAUUGUAAAGCACUUUAAGUUGGGAGGAAGGGUUGUAGAUUAAUACUCUGCAAUUUUGACGUUACCAACAGAAUAAGCACCGGCUAACUUCGUGCCAGCCGCCGCCGUAAUAC
rnacentral:rRNA from 1 species